rnacentral:rRNA from 1 species
UCGAGCGGCAGCGCGGGGCAACCUGGCGGCGAGCGGCGGACGGGUGAGGAAUGCAUCGGAAUCUACCCUGUCGUGGGGGAUAACGUAGGGAAACUUACGCUAAUACCGCAUACGACCGAGAGGUGAAAGUGGGGGACCGCAAGGCCUCACGCGAUUGGAUGAGCCGAUGCCGGAUUAGCUAGUUGGUGGGGUAAAGGCCCACCAAGGCGACGAUCCGUAGCUGGUCUGAGAGGAUGAUCAGCCACACUGGGACUGAGACACGGCCCAGACUCCUACGGGAGGCAGCAGUGGGGAAUAUUGGACAAUGGGCGCAAGCCUGAUCCAGCCAUGCCGCGUGUGUGAAGAAGGCCUUCGGGUUGUAAAGCACUUUUGUUCGGGAAGAAAUCGUGCGGAUUAAUACUCUGUACGGAUGACGGUACCGAGAGAAUAAGCACCGGCUAACUUCGUGCCAGCAGCCGCGGUAAUACGAAGGGUGCAAGCGUUACUCGGAAUCACUGGGCGUAAAGCGUGCGUAGGCGGUUCGUUAAGUCUGCUGUGAAAGCCCUGGGCUCAACCUGGGAACUGCAGUGGAUACUGGCGGACUAGAGUGUGAUAGAGGAUGGUGGAAUUCCCGGUGUAGCGGUGAAAUGCGUAGAGAUCGGGAGGAACACCAGUGGCGAAGGCGGCCAUCUGGAUCAACACUGACGCUGAGGCACGAAAGCGUGGGGGAGCAAACAGGAUUAGAUACCCUGGUAGUCCACGCCCUAAACGAUGCGAACUGGACGUUGGUUGCAACUUGGCAAUCAGUGUCGAAGCUAACCCGUUAAGUUCGCCGCCUGGGGAGUACGGUCCCA